UUGGGCCCACAAUCGGGACGGGGACGCCACACAGUGCCUCGUCUUCUUGCCUGGAUCGAUCCAUCUCAACGCCGGCCGCCGCUAAAAAAAAUAAAUUUCCAUCUCAACGCCGGCUGGACGCCGGAGUGUCCUUCCGUCUCCUCCUCCCUUGCAUUGUCCUCGCGCCACCCCACCCCAACUCACCCGUCCCCGCGCGUCACUUCGGAGUCAGUGUGCAAUGGAGGUGGCGACAGCCGGGGGCACCACGCCGCGCUCCUCCGCCUCGCUUCCGGCUCUCUCGCCGGUGGCCGCACUCCACGCCGCCGCGCUCCCCCUAGGCACGGUCCUCGAACCCUCUCUCAUCAACGCAUGCUCCGCCAGGGGCGACCCGGAUUCUUCCCGCAGCGUGUUCGACAAAUUGCCCGGCCGGGAGCAGACUGUCUCCGCACUUCCCGCGCCCGCAGGUUCUCGGCCUGUUCCGUGGCGGGGAAGGGGAGAUGGAUGACAAGGCCGCGUGCGCGAGGGCCGGGAUGGUGGGCGAAUGGAUGCAAGUGUUCGCAAGGAAGGGUGAGGAGGCCGUCGCUGCAGCGCUAUACAUGUAUGGUGGAGAUGCUGGGAAGCGCCUGGGAGGUGGAGCCCGGAGGUCGACGAGACCGAGUGCGGAUGGAGGCGCGACUGGUGCUGCUCGCCCCAUGCCGGGCGCAUGGCCGUCUCGAUGUGGCAAGGCAUGCAUUUUGGCCAAAUGAUAAUGCAGGACAAGAUAAGCCAGCCCCCUGGCUGGUGGAGCUCUGAAAUUUGUACAACAUGAUCCUUGGUUUACCUACAUGGGUCUGCCCUUCGGCAAUCUGAUUGUCCGGUUUGUCGUCGCCCCAUUACUCUGCUGGUACCUUCUGAAGUUGCUUCCGUGCUGUUUGUCUUGUUUGUCAUCGCCCCAUUACUCUGUUGACAUGGGCAAUCUGGUUGUCCGGUUUGUUGUCGCCCCAUCAAUCCUGUUAUAAUGUGUGAACUGAAUUGAAGCCUUGGUGGAGGCCUGGAGCUCUUCACAGUACAAUCGGAAUUUGGAUUACAUCACUGCUUUCCAUUAGAGCUGAGAUGGCCCCGGUGACUCUUGAGUUGCAGCAACCGCUUCAAAAUUCCAGUUCGGCAUGGAUUGCGGUUUAGAUGGCCCUGAUGGAGCGAAUUCCGAGUUAGCCAAACCGGGAAAGGAAAGCAAUGGCGGUGCACCUGUAUACAGAUGGAAGUUCCAUCUCGAACAGUGAAGUGAAAUGUCCGGUGUAUCCUCGACGAGGGUUGCGGCUUGGAUUUCGUCCCUGCUACGCCAUUGUGGGUGCUGUAUGAUUUGUUGGUGAUUUCAUGGUUUAGUUUUGUGCUCGAAAGGUGUUGGGAACUGUUGAACUACGUGUGCAUGCAUGCAAUGUUUGUGGUGUAAUAACAGUCACGUCCUAUUCGUUAUAUGGCUGUGCAUGCACCUGCGAGUGCCUCUAUUCCAUAUAUAUGUAACAACCUCCACAUGGAAUACAAUCAGUGAUUGACAUGGGGCUAGCUGGUUGCCUUUCAACUAGAACUCAAGCUCAACUGCCUAUUGUUGAAUUAUUAUUUUGUCAAUGGUCGA